rnacentral:rRNA from 1 species
UGUUUCCUACGGGAGGCAGCAGUGGGGAAUAUUGCACAAUGGGGGAAACCCUGAUGCAGCGACGCCGCGUGAAGGAAGAAGUAUUUCGGUAUGUAAACUUCUAUCAGCAGGGAAGAAAAUGACGGUACCUGACUAAGAAGCCCCAGCUAACUACGUGCCAGCAGCCGCGGUAAUACGUAGGGGGCAAGCGUUAUCCGGAUUUACUGGGUGUAAAGGGAGCAUAGGCGGUGAUGCAAGUCAGAAGUGAAAGCCCGCAGCUCAACUGCGGGACUGCUUUUGAAACUGUAUGA